UACGGAGGGUGCAAGCGUUAUCCGGAUUCACUGGGUUUAAAGGGUGCGUAGGUGGGUUGGUAAGUCAGUGGUGAAAUCUCCGGGCUUAACCCGGAAACUGCCAUUGAUACUAUCAGUCUUGAAUAUUGUGGAGGUCAGCGGAAUAUGUCAUGUAGCGGUGAAAUGCUUAGAUAUGACAUAGAACACCAAUUGCGAAGGCAGCUGGCUACUCAUAUAUUGACACUGAGGCACGAAAGCGUGGGGAUCAAACAGG
rnacentral:rRNA from 1 species